UACGUAGGCAGCGAGCGUUGUUCGGAGUUACUGGGCGUAAAGGGUGUGUAGGCGGUUGCUUAAGUUUGGUGUGAAAUCUCCCGGCUCAACUGGGAGGGUGCGCCGAAUACUGAGUGACUCGAGUGCGGGAGAGGAGAGUGGAAUUCCUGGUGUAGCGGUGAAAUGCGUAGAGAUCCGGAGGAACACCGACGGCGUAGGCAGCGCCCUGGACGACACCCUGACGCUGAGGCACGAAAGCUGGGGGAGCGAACAGG
rnacentral:rRNA from 1 species